rnacentral:lncRNA from 1 species
UAUGUAAAUCCUUUUCAUGUUAAUUGUUUAAUACAGUGUAAGGUGGGGGCACAAUUUCAUUAUUUUGCAUGUAGAUAUCUACUUGUCCCAACACCAUUUCUUGAAUAUUUUUCCUUACUGAAUGGUCUUGGCACCCUUUCUGAAAAUAAACUGGCCAUAUGUAUGGGUUUAUUUCUGUACUCUCAAUUCUAUUCCAUUUAUCUACAUAUCUGUCCUUAUGCCAAUAUCACACUAUCUUGAUUCUGUAGAUUUGCAGGCAAAUUUUGAAAUAAAAAAUGUGAGUCCUCAAACUUUGUUCCUCUUUUUCAAGAUUGUUUUGGCUAUCCUGGUUCAUUUGCAUAUUCUGCCAACAUGCUGGAUUUGUGUAUUAGCUCUAGUAGUUUUUUGUUGGAUUCCUUAGGAUUUUCUAUAUACAAUAUUGUAUCAUCUAUAAAGAGAUAGUUUUACUUCUUUCUAUUCUGCCAAUCUCUGCUUUUAAUGGAGUAUUUAAUAUGUGUAUAUUUAACGUGAUUACUGAGAAGGUAGGAUUUAUAUUUGCUAUUUGUUUCUCUUUGUCUUAAGCUUUUUUAAAAUUCUUCUGUCCUUCCAUUACUGCCUCCUGCACGUUCAACAGACAUUUUCCAGUGUACUAUUUUAAUUCCCUUAUUAUUUGUUUUGCAUUUUUUUUGAGUUAUUUUCUUAGUGGUUGUCUGCUAGAUUACAAUUAACAUCUUAAUUUAUAUCAAAUCUAAUUGUGGAUUAAUAACAAUUUAAUUUCAAUAUUAUACCCCAAAUUUUACUUCUGUAUAGUUCAAAUGCCUUUCUCCUCCUUUCUGUUGUUAAAAUUUUAUCUUUAUAUAUUGUGUGCUCCACAACAUAGAUUUUUAGUUAUUGUUUUAUGAAAUUGUCAUUUAAAUCAGAAAGCAAAAAAGUUACACACAAAAAAUACAUUUAUGCUGUGUUUUAUAUUUGGUUAUAUAUUUACCGCUCCUGGUGCUCUUUAUUGUUUCAUGUGGAUUUAAGUUAAUGUCUAGUGUCCUUUAAUUUCAGCCUGAAGGACUCCCUUUAGUAUUUCUUAUAGGUCAUGUUUCUGGUGUAUUGAUGACUUUUGUUGUUUAUUUGGUGACUUUUCUGAACUAAUUCUAUGAAGUCUAUAUUCUUUGUCAGGUGUGUCCACUGAAGUCUCUGCUAGGUUAGUUCAAUGGUCAGUUCAUAAUUGGACAGAGAUUUUCUAAAAUGUCUUGAACCAGUAAGUCUCCCAGUCUCUUGCUAACGGGCUCUGUGUAUGUGUUAGGGCAAGUUAAAUGCUACGACAGUCAUUGUUCUAACCAAGAUUCAGCUGUUUUGGAGGCCCGGUGCCGUGGCUCACGCCUGUAAUCCCCGCACUUUGGGAGGCCGAGCCCGGCGGAUCACGAGGUCAGGAGAUCGAGACCAUCCUGGCUAACACGGUGAAACCCCGUCUCUACUAAAAAUACAAAAAAAUUAGCCGGGACUGGUGGCGGGCGCCUGUAGUCCCAGCUACUUGGGAGGCUGAGGCAGGAGAAUGGUGUGAACCUGGGAGGCGGAGCUUGCAGAGAGGCGAGAUCGCACCACUGCACUCCAGCCUGGGCGACAGAGAGAGAUUCUGUCUC